CGAGUACGCCCCGCCUCGCCCCGGCGGCAGAGAGGAGACUAUGGAACGUCAGGUGAGGGCUCGGCCCGCGGUCCCCGUGGUCCCUGCAGCCCGGGCCGGGCCUGACCCUGGUGUGUCCCCUGCGCAGGUGCUGCUGAGCGAGCCCGAGGAGGCGGCGGCUCUGUAUCGGGGCCUUAGCCGCCAGCCCGCGCUGAGCGCCGCCUGCCUGGGCCCGGAGGUCACCACGCAGUACGGCGGCCAAUACCGGACGGUGCACACUGACUGCUGAGCAGAGAGUCUCCUUCAGGCACCAUGAAAGCUGUGCUGCGCAAGGCUGGAGGCACGGGCCCUGGGGAAGAGAAGCAGUUCCUGGAGGUCUGGGAGAAGAACCGGAAGCUCAAGAGCUUCAACCUGUCAGCACUGGAGAAACAUGGGCCUGUUUAUGAGGAUGACUGCUUUGGCUGCCUGUCCUGGUCGCACUCGGAGACACACUUGUUGUAUGUGGCAGAGAAGAAGCGCCCCAAGGCCGAGUCCUUCUUUCAGACCAAAGCCUUGGACGUCAGUGCCAGCGAUGAUGAGAUAGCCAGGCUGAAGAAGCCAGACCAAGCCAUCAAGGGGGAUCAGUUUGUGUUUUAUGAAGACUGGGGAGAAAACAUGGUUUCCAAAAGCAUCCCUGUGCUCUGCGUGCUGGAUGUCGAGAGUGGCAACAUCUCUGUGCUUGAGGGGGUCCCUGAGAAUGUGUCCCCUGGACAGG
rnacentral:sRNA from 1 species